rnacentral:rRNA from 1 species
CUACGGGCCGCUGCAGUGAGGAAAAUUGCACAAUGGGGGAAACCCUGAUGCAGCAACGCCGCGUGGAGGAUGACGCAUUUCGGUGUGUAAACUCCUUUUAUAUGUCAAGAAAAUGACGGUAGCAUAUGAAUAAGCACCGGCUAACUCCGUGCCAGCAGCCGCGGUAAUACGGAGGGUGCAAGCGUUACUCGGAAUCACUGGGCGUAAAGGACGCGUAGGCGGGUUGGAAAGUCAGGUGUGAAAUCCUACAGCUUAACUGUAGAACUGCACUUGAAACUUCUAAUCUAGAGUAUGGGAGGGGGAGAUGGAAUUAGUGGUGUAGGGGUAAAAUCCGUAGAUAUCACUAGGAAUACCUAAAGCGAAGGCGAUCUCCUGGAACAUUACUGACGCUAAGGCGUGAAAGCGUGGGGAGCAAACAGGAUUAGAUACCCUUGUAGUC